GAUGAACGCUGGCGGCGUGCCUAAUACAUGCAAGUCGAGCGAACGGACGAGAAGCUUGCUUCUCUGAUGUUAGCGGCGGACGGGUGAGUAACACGUGGAUAACCUACCUAUAUGACUGGGAUAACUUCGGGAAACCGGAGCUAAUACCGGAUGAUAUUUUGAUCCGCAUGGUUCAAAAGUGAAAGACGGUCUUGCUGUCACUUAUAGAUGGAUCCGCGCUGCAUUAGCUAGUUGGUAAGGUAACGGCUUACCAAGGCAACGAUGCAUAAGCGACGUGGGAGGGUGAUCGCCCACCCGAGAGCUGGGACGCGGUCCAUACGCCUGAGAGACGGAGCAGUAUGGUAUCUUCCGCAGUAGGCGAAAGCAUUGCGGAACAACGCCACGUGAGUGAUGGAGGUCUUCGGAUCGUAAAACUCUGUUAUUAGGGAAGAACAUAUGUGUAAGGAAAUGUACACAGCUUGACGGUACCGAAUCAGAAAGCCACGGCUAACUACGUG
rnacentral:rRNA from 1 species